rnacentral:rRNA from 1 species
UACGGAGGGUGCAAGCGUUAUCCGGAUUCACUGGGUUUAAAGGGUGCGUAGGUGGUUUUGUAAGUCAGUGGUGAAAGCCCGGAGCUCAACUCCGGAACUGCCAUUGAUACUGCUUAACUUGAAUCAACUUGAGGUGGAUGGAAUAUUACAUGUAGCGGUGAAAUGCUUAGAUAUGUAAUAGAACACCGAUUGCGAAGGCAGUUCACUAAGGUUGUAUUGACACUGAGGCACGAAAGCGUGGGGAGUCAAACAGGAAUUA